UGUUAAAAUUUCCAUCCAAAUCUACUGUUAAAAAUUGAUGUAGAUAAUGGAAUAAUCAAACAAUAUACCUGACAUGCCACUGAUACCUCAUGCUGACAUAUAAGAACUAAAUUUUAACAAAAAAAUGAAUGAAAAUUUUAACA
rnacentral:pre_miRNA from 1 species